rnacentral:rRNA from 1 species
GGGUGGUAAUGCCGGAUGUUCCACAUGAUCGCAUGUGAUUGUGGGAAAGAUUCUAUCGGCGUGGGAUGGGGUCGCGUCCUAUCAGCUUGUUGGUGAGGUAACGGCUCACCAAGGCUUCGACGGGUAGCCGGCCUGAGAGGGCGACCGGCCACAUUGGGACUGAGAUACGGCCCAGACUCCUACGGGAGGCAGCAGUGGGGAAUAUUGCACAAUGGGCGCAAGCCUGAUGCAGCGACGCCGCGUGAGGGAUGGAGGCCUUCGGGUUGUAAACCUCUUUUGUUUGGGAGCAAGCCUUCGGGUGAGUGUACCUUUCGAAUAAGCGCCGGCUAACUACGUGCCAGCAGCCGCGGUAAUACGUAGGGCGCAAGCGUUAUCCGGAUUUAUUGGGCGUAAAGGGCUCGUAGGCGGCUCGUCGCGUCCGGUGUGAAAGUCCAUCGCUUAACGGUGGAUCUGCGCCGGGUACGGGCGGGCUGGAGUGCGGUAGGGGAGACUGGAAUUCCCGGUGUAACGGUGGAAUGUGUAGAUAUCGGAAA